rnacentral:lncRNA from 1 species
AAUCUUUUGCCACUUUCAAGCAACUAAACCAUUUUAUAUUUCUAUUUAAUAUUGGGAACAUAUUAUAAUAAUGUGAAACACACUUUUCUUUGGUAACUUAAUUUUUAUGCACUCUGAUAAGUGCGUAUUUACACACUCAUUUGGCCACAAAACAUGACUAAGUGUUGAUCAAAGCGUUUGAGUUAUGACUUAAUUCUGCGUAAUUUUGUUUUGUAGAGCUAUAUUGAUGGUUAUGAUGGGAUUCAAAAGAAAAUAUGUGAAAAAAGGGACAAAAAAGAAUCAAGAAUUGAAUUCGAGGAUGAUGUGAAAAAGAGACCAAAAAGAAUCAAGAAUUGAAUUUGGGGACCAAAGUAUAACAUUUGGAAGUUUUUAUAACUGGACGAUUGCUUAGUUAUUUAUAGUGGGUGACUGCCCAACAUCAAGGAUCAUUUAUUGAGGUGAAAACUUUAGCCUGGGCGACUGCCUAGGCCAUUGCGGUAAAAAAAUUCUAGUUAGGCCAUCGCGGUAAAAAAAUUCUAGUUUCCUAUUCCGAAUGAAAUUCUUAUGUAAACAAAUCAUGUUAAGUAUUUUAAAACUCUAGGGCCGUCCCAAAAGGGGGAAAGAAGGCAUUUGGAGAAAAAAUAACACAUCUUGGAUAUGAUUUUGCACCACAAUAAUGAAGAGAAACACGAAGAUCGACGGGAAUACAUGUCAAUUCUUACACCGAUGUUGUUUCUUAAAGUUUUUCUAUAUUUUGUUAGUUUCUUCAUGCUAG